rnacentral:rRNA from 1 species
UACGUAGGGUGCGAGCGUUGUCCGGAAUUAUUGGCGUAAAGAGCUCGUAGGCGGUUUGUCGCGUCGAAUGUGAAAACCCGGGGGCUCAACCCCGGGCCUGCAUUCGAUACGGGCAGACUAGAGUUCGGUAGGGGAGUCUGGAAUUCCUGGUGUAGCGGUGAAAUGCGCAGAUAUCAGGAGGAACACCGGUGGCGAAGGCGGGUCUCUGGGCCGAUACUGACGCUGAGGAGCGAAAGCGUGGGGAGCGAACAGG